AAUCUUCCGCAAUGGACGAAAGUCUGACGGAGCAACGCCGCGUGGGUGAAGAAGGCCUUCGGGUUGUAAAGCCCUUUCUUAUGGGACGAAGAAAGUGACGGUACCAUAGGAGGAAGCCACGGCUAACUACGUGCCAGCAGCCGCGGUAAUACGUAGGUGGCAAGCGUUGUCCGGAAUCACUGGGCGUAAAGGGCGCGUAGGCGGAUUUUUAAGUCAGGUGUGAAAUCUUCGGGCUCAACCCGGAGUGUGCAUUUGAUACUGGAAGUCUUGAGUGCUGGAGAGGGCAGUGGAAUUCCUAGUGUAGCGGUGAAAUGCGUAGAUAUUAGGAGGAACACCAGUGGCGAAGGCGGCUGCCUGGACAGUAACUGACGCUGAGGCGCGAAAGCGUGGGGAGCAAACAGG
rnacentral:rRNA from 1 species